GCUGGAUUCCAAUGGGGAGCUGCUCAUCCGAAAUGCCCAGCUGAAACAUGCCGGGAGGUACACAUGCACCGCUCAGACUAUUGUGGACAAUUCUUCUGCUUCAGCUGACCUUGUUGUGCGAGGCCCUCCAGGCCCUCCUGGUGGUUUGCGGAUAGAAGACAUUAGAGCCACUUCAGUGGCACUUACUUGGAGCCGGGGUUCAGACAAUCAUAGUCCGAUAUCUAAAUACAAUAUCCAGACCAAGACUAUUCUUUCAGAUGACUGGAAAGAUGCAAAGACAGAUCCCCCAAUUAUUGAAGGAAACAUGGAAGCAGCAAGAGCAGUGGAUUUAAUUCCAUGGAUGGAAUAUGAAUUUCGUGUGGUAGCAACCAAUACAUUGGGUAUAGGAGAGCCCAGUAUACCAUCAAACAAAAUUAAAACAGAUGGUGCUGGUACGUAGAAGAAACUUUGCAGCAUGUAAAACAUUUGUAAAUUCAGUGAUACUUUAAUAUAUAAUUGAACGUAUUUGGAAAUAAUUCUCUGAGGUAAGUAAUGUAUCUAAAAAAUUUGUGUAUAUGUAUUUCACACGUCUCAGGGACCAAGAGCGCCACCUCAAGAAACCACACUGCUUUUGUUGUGCUCUUUAGGAUUAUGUCAAAUGAGGAGGGGGUAAUAGGUGCAGGAUAUAGGCUUUUUUAAUUAUUUUAAAAGUCUCAUAGCCAGUAGCUGAUUAAGCUUUUAUUCUGACCUUUAGGCAUUUAACAAUCAUUAGCAUUGAGGAAGCUUGGCAUCAGCUAUCUAUGCAUAGCAUCUAGAGAAUCACCAUUGUGCUUCUGCAGACUGCGUGCCUAUCUGCCGCGACCCUGCAUGCCUAGGUGUGCACCUCAGUUCUUCUUGCUAAUGCAUAUCCUACUAAGGACCCCUCAUAAACCCCUUGGGGCCAUGAGGCUUAUCUUCCUCUUAUUCUUUAGAGGACAUAUCAUGCUGUGCAAAUGGCGUGUCUAUCUGCACACGUCCGGUGUGCCUAGACCAACAUAUUAUGUCCUCAUUCAGCUGACGACAUGAAUAACUUAUGCCUUUAAGUCUUUGUUCUUAAGCUUAAGUCAUAUACCAGCACUGCGACUGUUUUCCAAGCAGGAAGAUGGGGUAAAGUAAAGCAGGACAAGAUGGAGUUUUCAGCAUAGAAAACAGAAGCAAAGAGGCUAAGAAAAUAUUGUAGAAACAUGUCUUGCUGACAACACCAAGUAAAUGAAGCUGGUGUUUAGCAAAUAAACCUUAAUGUAAAUCGUGAAUGUUAACCAGGCAGGGAAGUGAUUUAACAGGUUCCGUGAUUUAGAAGGCUCACAAUGUUUUUGUGUCUCUCAAGACAUUUAUAAGCGUCGUGGGGAUGGAGGGGAUGGAUGGAAGAAUAGGAUGAGCAGGGCGUGGAGAGAAAGUGAUGAGGACUCUCAGACCUUCACUACCUGGGCAGUAGAGCAUCUCAGAAAUAACUAUAGUGUUUUAUUUUAAUGUUAGAUGUCACUCUAAAUAUGCUGUUUUAUCACACCUCAACCUUGGCUAUUCUUCCAAUUUAGGUUCACUUUGGUUUGGGUUUGGUUUGGUUUGGUUUGGUUUGGUUUUUGGCCAUACCAGCGGCAUGUGGAAGUUCCUGGGCCAAGGAUUGAACCUGUGCCACUACAAUGACAACCCCAGAUCUUUAACCCGUUGCACCACCCAGGAACUCCUAGGUUCACAUUUUUUAUGCUAAAUACCAACUCCAUUUUAAUAGCCUUUAGUACAUGAAGUACUCUGCUUUGUUUUCUUUCUCCCUGGUAUUUCUAGGCAAAAAUAGUGUUCUGAUUCCAAUAAUAAGUCUUCUUUAUUAUUCCCUGUGAAAAAGAAAAUGUUUUGCAGACUCUCUGGGUUUGUUUAUUUUUACUAUGCCUUGCCAACCUUCAGUGCUUUAUUUGGGGGAAAAUAUUUUAAAUAGAAGACAGACCACCAUUAAAAUUCUGCUGUGAUAUCUUAAUAUUACUUAUCCACAUUUCUGGCUAUCUCAAUGCCUUGGCCUGACUUCUAAAUAGAAUUAUGAAUUAUACUGUCUUUAGUUGUUAAAGCCAAAUUAUCCAUAGAGACUACCAUCCAUAAACUGUCCCUUAAAGUUUCACGUAGUUUCCUGUAACUUACCAGAUAAAACUAAUGAUUCUGUAAUAGAGGAGGAAAUAACACUAAAAUACUGAUCUGUGCCGGGUAUUUUCACACACAUUUCGGUUAAUCCUCAUAAUAAUAUUUUGAGGUAGAUAUUACAAUCCAAUGCUCAUUGAUAGACAGUAGGCUCAGAGACACUAAAUAGUUUACCUAAGUUAGUACAACUACUUGCAAGAUUCAGAAUUCAAAUUCAGAGCUGUCUGACAACUCUUCUCAUAUACUGAACUUUCUCUUUUAAAACGUGGUUUCUCAAUUAGGACUCUAAAAGCACAAAGACUCAUAUGAACUUUUAUUAGUGUUCUAGUAGAAGCUCACAUUUUAUUCUCAAUUAUGAAACUAGAUAUGGCCUCAACACUAUUAUUUUUGUUUUAGUAUAUCCACUUUUGAAAUGAAUGCCGUUGUUCCUUUUCUGUACCUCACAAAAAUCUUAUUAGGAUAUGCAGGUAAUAUAAGCUGCAGCUUUAGAAACACAGAUACCAUAGAGCCAGGAUCCUUGUGUUUUGUUUUAUUUCUUAGCGCCUCCUAUGUUUGUAAUAGGGCUUCUGGGUAAUGGGACUGAACACAGUUGCCCUUUCUUGAAAGACAAACAUGAAAAAGGAACUAGGACAUUUUCUGACUGGUGAUUUCAACCGCAUAAUUCAUGCUGAGAGAUCAUCAAGUUGCUUUGAUUUAACAGGUAUUCUCAAAUCUAAUAUUUUUGUAAGGUUGUUACUUUCAACCAACAACUUUUGGCAUCACCUCUCACAUUGUGUUUGCUCAAUGGUAUUUUGUUAAGGAACUAAUUCUCUCUCUAGGGUGCUUGAACAAUAACUUCUCUUAAAAGCCUUUAGAGCCAAAACAAACAAACACAUGAAGUAAUAACAGUCUUAUUCACAAUGUAAGAUACAGCCCCAUAUAUAGAGAUAAAAUGAGAUGACUCAUUCCUUUCAGCUGUGAAAAGAAUAAACCCUAUAACCUCUAAUACAUUUGUUAACCUUUCAUAGGAAAAUAUUUUAGGAUCCUUUAUUAAUCAGCUUUUAUGGUUAUCAUCAUUUAUGCACUUGCUGUAUGUUAUCAGAGAGCAUGCUAAGCUCUAUACUUGGCAUUGCUCCUUUUUAUUCCCACAAUAACUUUAUGAAAUUGGUGUUAUUGUUCCUAAUUUUACAAAGAAGUCAAGAUGAUACCCAAUUAAUGUGAAACAAAGCUGGAUUCAAAUCCAGGGUUUGUAAUCCUGAAAGCUUUGGGGUUUUUUGUUCGUUUGUUGCUUUUUAGGGCCACGCCUGCAGCAUAUGGAAGUUUCCAGGCUAGGGGUCGAAUCCAAGCUACUGCUGCUGGCCUAUGCUACAGCUACAGCAACACAGGAUCUGAGCUGUGUCUGUGACCUACACCACAGCUCACGGCAAUGCCAGAUUCUUAACCCACUGCGCAAGGCCAGGGAUUGAACCCUCAUCCUCAUGGAUCCUGGUCAGGUUCAUUUACCACUGAGCCACGAAGGGAAUGCCUGAAAGCUUUGUUUCUAAACCACUUUCUCGGAGGUCUUUGUGAGGUAAUGAAGUUCCAGGACACUGAUCCUGCAAAGGAAUCCUGAUUCUAUAAUUUACAAGCUCUGUGAUUAGAGGCAUAUUACUUAACCUCUCUGAGCCUGAGUUUUCUCAUCUCUAAGUGGAAAUUAUUUCUUAUGAGAAAUUUUUAUGACUACAAACAUGAAAGGAAAGCAAUUAGUUCUACCUAGUGCAUAAUAUUUGCUGAAGAAAAAAUUUUAUUAUGUUAUUAAUGAUCAUUUUAAACUUUAAUAUGCUUAUAAGAAAAUAUUGUCUACACUGACACUGAUCACUUCAUUUGGCAAUAUAUUUCCAUUUUUAUAAGCAUAAUAGAGGAUUAUAUAAUUUCUUAUGAUUUUAAUGAUCUUAAAGGAAUAAUUUUAUAUAUUUAAUAAAAUAAAAUCCAACAGAUUUUCUCUUUAACUGCUGUUUUUCCUUUCAUCCUGUUUUUUAAAAAUUGAAUAUUCAUAAAAUUGGACAUUUACAUUUUUUUAUCCUUACAAAAAAAUAAAAAUACUUUCUAAAACAGGGAGAUGUUUGUCUUGUCAUGUACCAUUAUAGCAACUCUCUAAGAGAUGCCAGCAUAUGUCAUGUGGGAUAAAGGCUGGUUCCCAAUUGAUGGAAAGGUUACUCCUGUUCCUCAUUAUGCUGAUUGAAAGACACAACAUUAUCUAGUGCAGCACAUGCCCUUAUCUGUCCAAUUACUUCAUGUUAAGAUUGCCAUGCACAGUUGGGUAUAUUCUUUGGUUUCAGAAAAGUACAUUAUAAAAUGGAUGGUCCCAAGUGAAGAAUUAGAAGAUACAUUUGUAACUCAAUGUAACCCAUUUAAUUUUGACUGUAAGAAAGAGAUAAAAGCAUCCUUCAAAGUGAUGUGUCAUUGUAAAGACAUAUCCCAUAGCUAAUAGCUCUGCAGGUGCAGUUGGUGAGUUGAUACCCUAAAAUGGUGCAUUCAGGUUUGUUUUGACAGCUUUGCCAUUUUUUGCCAGAUCAACCUAAGAAGGAAAAAAAAAAAUAACAUAACACUGGAGUCAACAUUUUCCAGUGUGUAGAGCUUUAAUUUCAUGUCUGUUCUGCUCUUUCAGUAUCUUUUUUUAAUUUAUUAGAUAUGUUUGAUAAAAGAGAAGAAUGGUGCUAAAAACAUAUUUUAUAGCUGUUAAGGUGCUAUGUUAAAGUUAGUAGCUGUCACUAAUAAUAAAAUAGACACUUUUUUUUUAAUAAAGCAGAGAGUAUAGAUUUUUAAGCCAUAUGGAGGCCAGGGUUAAAGUUGCAACUAAAACACACUCGGUCAGUGCUCUUGAAAAUGUGAGGUCACCAAACAAAAACAUAAAACAAGAACAACAACAAAAAAGGAAUUCCCUCUUGGAACAACCGGUUAAAAAUCUGGCACUGUCACUGCAGUUGCCCAGGUUGCUGCUAUGGCACAGAUUCGAUCUCUGGCCUGGGAACUUCUGUGUGCAUGGGCAAAAAAAAAGUGAGGUCACAAAAGACGAGGAAAGACUGAAGAUCCGUUAGGGUCUGGAGGAGACUAAGACAUGUCAACUAAAUAGCUUGUGGUGUGCUGGGCUGUGUGCAAAACCAGAAAAAGGACAUUAGUAGAAAAACUGGCCCAAUCCAAAUGAAAUCCACAGUUUACAUUAUUGAGCCACUGUUAACUUCUCAGUUGUCAUCACUGUACUUGGUUAUGUUUGAUGUUAACUCAGGUGGAGGCUGAGUCAAGGAUAAAUUCUACGACUUUUGUUAACUGUCUCUGAGACUAAAAGUAAUUCAAACUUAAG
rnacentral:lncRNA from 1 species